UACAGAGGGUGCAAGCGUUGUUCGGAAUUAUUGGGCGUAAAGCGCGUGUAGGCGGCUUUGCAAGUCGGGUGUGAAAUCCCUCAAGCUCAACUGAGGAAGUGCGCCCGAAACUGCAGAGCUUGAGUACCGGAGAGGAUGGCGGAAUUCCCCAAGUAGAGGUGAAAUUCGUAGAUAUGGGGAGGAACACCGGUGGCGAAAGCGGCGCACUGGACCACUUCUGGACGCUGAGGCGCGGAAAGCUAGGGGAGCAAACAGGGAUUAAGAAACCCGGAGUAACGUCCG
rnacentral:rRNA from 1 species